rnacentral:lncRNA from 1 species
AAGUUUCAGAGAAGAUGAAACUGAUGUGCGUCAAAAAGGUAAAUGUCACAUGACCCAUCUUAUGUUGAAUAAAACUAUUCUAUGAUUCAAUCUGUAUAAGCUUCAAAGAUAAAUUAACUAGCAGCACAUUUUUAUUAUUGUUUGUAUAGUAUGUUUGAUCAAAUUCCUUCCCCUCCCCAAACUCCCUCUAGAUCCUCCCCAUCUCUCUAUCCACCCAACUCUUUGUUCUUUAUCUCUCCCAAAAUAAAGAACAAAACAAGAAAAAACAACAACAAAAAAUGAAAGCAUGUGCGUGCAAGCACACCCCCCCAUACACACACAAACACACACACAAACAUACACACACACAUACACACACACACCACAUAAAGUCUAUUUUGUGUUGGCCAACCAUUUCUAUGCAUGAAGCCUGAUGCAUGAAGCCACAAAAAUUGGCUGAUAUACUCUCUCUCCCUGCACUGCUAUGAAAUAGCUCCUCUUUCCUGUAAUCUUCUCAUGAGAGUUGGGCAUCUCCUGUCUCUGACUCAGUCUGUCAAAUCUUUCUCUGACUCAUUACUUUGUCUGCCCCCCAUUUACACAUCAUUUUCAAACAUGGCUGUGUCCUUCUACAAAUUAAUUUUACCUUAAAGAUGUAUACAAGGGGCAUGUGUGUAUUCCAGCCAGAGGGAUUAAAAAUGUGUGGCAUGUUUACAUUCCAGCUGGAU